rnacentral:rRNA from 1 species
UGGGGAAUAUUGCACAAUGGGCGCAAGCCUGAUGCAGCCAUGCCGCGUGUGUGAAGAAGGCCUUCGGGUUGUAAAGUACUUUCAGCGGGGAGGAAGGGAGUAAAGUUAAUACCUUUGCUCAUUGACGUUACCCGCAGAAGAAGCACCGGCUAACUCCGUGCCAGCAGCCGCGGUAAUACGGAGGGUGCAAGCGUUAAUCGGAAUUACUGGGCGUAAAGCGCACGCAGGCGGUUUGUUAAGUCAGAUGUGAAAUCCCCGGGCUCAACCUGGGAACUGCAUCUGAUACUGGCAAGCUUGAGUCUCGUAGAGGGGGGUAGAAUUCCAGGUGUAGCGGUGAAAUGCGUAGAGAUCUGGAGGAAUACCGGUGGCGAAGGCGGCCCCCUGGACGAAGACUGACGCUCAGGUGCGAAAGUGUGGGGAGCAAACAGG